UACCAGCACCCCGAGUGGUCGUGACGAUUAUUGGGCCUAAAGCAUCCGUAGCCGGUCUUGCAAGUCUUCCGUUAAAUCCAGCUGCUUAACAGAUGGGCUGCGGAAGAUACUACAAGACUAGGAGGUGGGAGAGGCAAGCGGUACUCAGUGGGUAGGGGUAAAAUCCUCUGAUCCAUUGAAGACCACCAGUGGCGAAGGCGGCUUGCCAGAACGCGAUCGACGGUGAGGGAUGAAAGCUGGGGGAGCAAACCGG
rnacentral:rRNA from 1 species